UACAGAGGCCUCGAGCGUUAGGCGGAAUCACUGGGCUUAAAGCGUGUGUAGGCGGACUGGUAAGUACCUUGUGAAAUCCCACAGCUUAACUGUGGAACUGCUCGGUAUACUGCUGGUCUUGAGCCACUCAGGGGCUACCGGAACAAAUGGUGGAGCGGUGAAAUGCGUAGAGCUCGGGAAGAACAUCGGUGGCGAAAGCGCUCUGCUGGACUGCAACUGACACUCAGGGACGAAAGCUAGGGGAGCGAAUGGG
rnacentral:rRNA from 1 species